rnacentral:tRNA from 1 species
CUUGGAGUUCUUGAGAACUUCCGGGUUCUAGAACACUUGGAACUUGCUCUGGCCUUUUGGACGAGCAUCUAGCCUUAGAUGGUGGUGGGUUUACUCCUCCAACCUCCUAAAAUUGCACGGCCAGGGUCAUGUGGCCCCUCCCGUCCCCGGGAGCCACAGAAGGGCUCUAGGUGGUGGUCUGUGCGGAUGUUAGUGAGAGCCCCGAUUAGGGCCUGACUGGUUUCACGAUCUAAUGACCAUGUGUGAGCUUGUGCUUUCCAACUCGCCGCAGGGACAAUGGGUCCCGGACCAAACGCUAUGCGGAGGUGAAGUUUGGGGCGUUCGCUCUGCCGCUGGAUUCGGAAGAACCGAACCUGGGGUCCAGCUCUGGCUUCUGUAUCUGUGUCUCUGAGCCGCGCGGGUCUUCAGGGCCGAGGCCAGGCCGGAGUGGGCUUGGCCAAGGGACGGGAUCUGCGGGUCUUUGGAGGAUCCUGGCUUUGUCCGCGGGGACUGGCGGAUCAGGAGGCGGCAAUCUCCAGUCUCAUUCUCGGGAUUCUGCACUUGGAUUCUAUUUGGGGUGAAAUUUCUAAGCUGGGGUCCACCUCGCGAGCUCUCUGACUUCCUUUUCCCGGAGGACGGUGGUCCCUGGUCAUUCACGCCGAACGCUUGGCCUCAGGGCUGGGGUCUGACCUACCCUGAGCCUGUAGGAACUUUCUCUUCCGUCCCCGCCGUGCCGCAUCUCCCUCGGUUUACGAACUCUGAACUCUUCCGGGCAUCACUAAAAGAAUCGGUUUUAUGGACGUAGUGUGUCGAUGAAGGUAUCCAAAGACAUGAACGCCGCUCGUUCCCGCGGUGGCUCGUUGGUCUAGGGGUAUGAUUCUCGCUUUGGGUGCGAGAGGUCCCGGGUUCAAAUCCCGGACGAGCCCUGAUGCACUUUUAGUUUUUACUCACAGCGUGAAGGCUUUGGACUUCAGCGAAAAGCUAGAUCUAGAUCCAAGGACAGAGUCGAAGGCAUAGCUCUUGUCCCCACAUCUGUUCUGCCGGAUAUGUCUGGUCCGACGCAGCCAUGGGGUCUAGGUGCAGCUGAAGGACAAAUGGCAUGCGCCCUGGACUGGAGCAGAGAACAAGGACAAAUCCCUCCCAGCCAUCUCUGUCUCCGCAGAUGUCUGGGUGUCGUGUACCAGGCCUCCCUGCUCUAGGCGCGUUGUUUUUCUUCGGUUAGAGGAAGGAGAGUGGCAUCGCGAGUGACCAUAACUGCAUUUGCCUUAUAAACAAGAACCUGCAUUGUGAUUUUCAUGGAAGGAAGAGACCAGGAGAGUUAAAGGACAAGCGUCAGACCCCAGGCAGGCGGCAGCAACGGAAGUGGUGUGCUCUAAUGUUGUGGCUCUCAUACUAGGCUGUAUAGCUCUUGUGUAGAUCUAGAACAUUCCUUGGACAGUGGGAGCAACUAAGGUUGCAGCUUUUGGAUGGCCUGGGUAUCUGGAUUCCUCAGCUCUCAUCUGAAAUGAUCUGCAGGAGAUUGUUAUUGACAACCAUACUGAUUAAGCCAAUUAAAAGUUUUAAGUGCUUUUUAUUCAGUGGUUCUCAACCUUCUCAAUCCUAAUGCUGAGAUCCUUUAAUACAGCUCCUUAUGCUGUGGUGAUCCCCAACCAUAAAAUCAUUUCGUUGCUACUUCAUAACUGCAAUUUUGCUACUGUUUUGAAUCAUAUUGGAAUGUAAAUUAUAAAGUAAUUUAUAAAGUAAAGUAAAGGCAAAACCCACACUGGGCAGUGGUGGUGCUCACCUUUAAUCCCAACACUCAGGAGGCAGAGACUGGUGGAUUUCCAUGAGUUUG